rnacentral:rRNA from 1 species
CCCUUAGAUGUCCUGGGCUGCACGCGCGCUACACUGAUGUGUCCAGUAAGCACCUAACCUCUUCCGAAAGGAACGGGUAACCUUUGCAAAGCACAUCGUGAUGGGGAUAGAUUAUUGCAAUUAUUAGUCUUGAACGAGGAAUUCCUAGUAAGCACAAGUCAUCAGCUUGUGUUGAUUACGUCCCUGCCCUUUGUACACACCGCCCGUCGCUCCUACCGAUUGAAUGUUCCGGUGAGCUCUUCGGACUGCGCGGUCUGCAGUUUCUGCGUUCCGUGCGGAAAGUUGCGCAAACCUUAACAUUUAGAGGAAGGAGGAGUCGUAACA